rnacentral:rRNA from 1 species
AGAGUUUGAUCCUGGCUCAGGAUGAACGCUAGCGGCAGGCUUAACACAUGCAAGUCGAGGGGCAGCAUAAUGGAUAGCAAUAUCUAUGGUGGCGACCGGCGCACGGGUGCGUAACGCGUAUGCAACCUACCUUUAACAGGGGGAUAACACUGAGAAAUUGGUACUAAUACCCCAUAAUAUCAUAGAAGGCAUCUUUUAUGGUUGAAAAUUCCGAUGGUUAGAGAUGGGCAUGCGUUGUAUUAGCUAGUUGGUGGGGUAACGGCUCACCAAGGCGACGAUACAUAGGGGGACUGAGAGGUUAACCCCCCACACUGGUACUGAGACACGGACCAGACUCCUACGGGAGGCAGCAGUGAGGAAUAUUGGUCAAUGGACGCAAGUCUGAACCAGCCAUGCCGCGUGCAGGAUGACGGCUCUAUGAGUUGUAAACUGCUUUUGUACGAGGGUAAACGCAGAUACGUGUAUCUGUCUGAAAGUAUCGUACGAAUAAGGAUCGGCUAACUCCGUGCCAGCAGCCGCGGUAAUACGGAGGAUUCAAGCGUUAUCCGGAUUUAUUGGGUUUAAAGGGUGCGUAGGCGGUUUGAUAAGUUAGAGGUGAAAUUUCGGGGCUCAACCCUGAACGUGCCUCUAAUACUGUUGAGCUAGAGAGUAGUUGCGGUAGGCGGAAUGUAUGGUGUAGCGGUGAAAUGCUUAGAGAUCAUACAGAACACCGAUUGCGAAGGCAGCUUACCAAACUAUAUCUGACGUUGAGGCACGAAAGCGUGGGGAGCAAACAGGAUUAGAUACCCUGGUAGUCCACGCAGUAAACGAUGAUAACUCGUUGUCGGCGAUACACAGUCGGUGACUAAGCGAAAGCGAUAAGUUAUCCACCUGGGGAGUACGUUCGCAAGAAUGAAACUCAAAGGAAUUGACGGGGGCCCGCACAAGCGGAGGAACAUGUGGUUUAAUUCGAUGAUACGCGAGGAACCUUACCCGGGCU